rnacentral:lncRNA from 1 species
UAGAGGUAGAUAAUUAUGCAGAAAUAGAAGAGGUUGACACCCACUUUAUUGAAGAACAUGGAAGCCAUCUGGCCCAUCUCCACUCUUUCUGUGAUUUCAAAGAUAUUUGGUGAUCCGCGUCUCUGAACUGACAGGAUAGGUCGUGUCUCUGCUCGCUCAUAGCUGUCUCGGAGGAGAACAUCACUGUCAGACACUCCAGAGGAAGAAUCUUCAUCCUCAUCAUCCUCCUUGCGUUUUUC